CAGGUUGAAAUAUGCUCUCACAUACCGAGAGGUGAUCUCAAUUCUGAUGCAAAGACAAGUUAUGGUUGAUGGGAAAGUAAGGACAGAUAAGACAUAUCCUGCUGGUUUCAUGGAUGUUGUUUCAAUCCCGAAGACUAAUGAGAACUUCCGUCUUCUUUACGACACUAAGGGCCGAUUCCGUCUUCACUCGGUCAGGGAUGAGGAAUCCAAGUUUAAGCUUUGCAAGGUCCGGUCUGUGCAGUUUGGUCAGAAGGGGAUCCCAUACCUGAACACUUACGAUGGAAGAACAAUCCGCUAUCCUGAUCCUCUCAUCAAGGCCAACGAUACCAUAAAGCUGGACUUGGAAUCUAAUAAGAUUGUUGAUUUCAUCAAGUUUGAUGUUGGGAAUGUUGUGAUGGUGACUGGAGGUAGAAACAGGGGACGUGUUGGUGUUAUUAAGAACAGGGAGAAGCAUAAGGGUAGCUUUGAGACCCUCCACAUUCAGGAUUCACAGGGUCAUGAAUUUGCUACACGUUUGGGAAAUGUGUUCACUCUAGGUAAGGGUACUAAGCCGUGGGUUUCACUACCCAAAGGUAAAGGAAUUAAGUUGACCAUCAUCGAGGAGGCAAGGAAGAGGCUGGCUGCUCAAUCUGCCACCCCUGCUUAAACAAACUGUCCUUGUUGCUUCAUCCACUGUUCAAGUCAAUUUCACGCUUUACAGCGUGAUAAAGUUAAGUUUUGUAGUUUGAGCUCUAAAUGUUUGCUUUGUUUAGUGAUGCACUUUUUUUAUUCUGCGAGCAGCCUUCUGAAUAUUCGUGUUCUUAGUUUUAGCAUGCCUAGUUUUUUAAACUCCUUUACGGAUCAUUCCUUGUUCAUUUUGAUUUCCAGAUUUGAG
rnacentral:misc_RNA from 1 species